AUACGGAGGGUGCAAGCGUUAUCCGGAAUCAUUGGGUUUAAAGGGUCCGUAGGCGGGCGAUUAAGUCAGAGGUGAAAUCCCACAGCUCAACUGUGGAACUGCCUUUGAUACUGGUUGUCUUGAGUUACAGUGAAGUAGAUAGAAUGUGUAGUGUAGCGGUGAAAUGCAUAGAUAUUUCACAGAAUACCGAUUGCGAAGGCAGUCUACUAACUGUAUACUGACGCUCAUGGACGAAAGCGUGGGGAGCGAACAGAAUUAGAAACCCUAGUAGUCC
rnacentral:rRNA from 1 species